GCACGGGCCGGUGGGAUUCGGGCGGGACGGCCCCUGAGGGUCCCGGGCGGGAGCAGAACAACUCUGAUGGCAGCGGCCCCGGGCGCUGAGCUCCCGGAGACCGGCUACAGGGAUCCCUCGGGCCGCUUGGCGCUGCGAGCUUUUCCGCGCCGCUGGCGGGGCGUUCCGGAGGCGCCGCGGCCACAGCGCCACCCAGUUCCCGCGAUCCUCCCCUCAACCGCCCAGAUCACUCAGCUCUCCGCAAGCCACUGCCUCCCCACCACCCACUCUGCUCGGGGAGAGGGAACUGAGGGGGUUGGGGCUGCCGGCCCUGGAGCGCUUCUGGGGCUCGGAGCCUGCCUGCCCGCCGGCGGGGACAAAUGCACCACGGAAGAGAAGUCAGGCCCGGAGAAGUUCAGGAACACCCAGAAGCCGCUGUCCUGCAUUCGGAAGGAAUGAGCUUUUAACUUAACCCUUCAUGAAUGGCCCCUGAGUGUUGAGUAUCCAUGAUGAGAAAUGACUUCAAUAAUAACAACGCUUGAAUUCCUUAGGGCAGAGCCUGCUCGGAUCGUCUCCUGAUGUCAUUCCAAAUGUCGGAUGGCCAUCUAUGGCAACUGGACUGGCAGGGGCCUGCUGGAAGGGGCAGCCCCAGGAAUGCCUGCUGCAGCAUUCCGUUCAAGAAAGACCUAGAAGGAGUUCUCUGAGGCCGCAGGGGCAGCAUUUGCAGCUGUGUCUAGGGGCCGGUGCCACUUCUUGGGAAAUGGAAGCCAUCGUGUUUUUGCAUUUUUUGAUUUUAGAUCUUCAGUCUAACGCUCUCCCAACUGAGCUAUUUCGGCUAGCAUUUUUUGAUUUUAAUACGCUGCCACUUGGGAGGUUAUGAGUCCCACUGACUUCAUGAUUGGUUUAAAUAUGUAUUAUGGGGGAGGGACUCAGAAUGUUAAUAAAAAUGUUUAACGUAUUCACGCUGAUACUUCUUAUGAAGAACACUAAAUCAAAGGAUCUAGAAAGAAGUGAAGGAAGCUUCCACAGGAAAAAAUGUAACUUGUUUCCUCUACGCUUCAAUGAGAGGUUAAAACAUCAUUUUUAACCAUUAUUAAUCAUUUUAUUUAUAACCCCAAAUUUUGAACCCAAUAAAAGAAAGUUUCUUUUCUUGAAGGCAAUAU